rnacentral:rRNA from 1 species
UACAGAGGUCUCAAGCGUUGUUCGGAUUCAUUGGGUGUAAAGGGUGUGUAGGUGGCGCCGUAAGUCGGGUGUGAAAUUUCGGAGCUUAACUCCGAAACUGCAUUCGAUACUGCGGUGCUUGAGGACUGGAGAGGAGACUGGAAUUCAUGGUGUAGCAGUGAAAUGCGUAGAGAUCAUGAGGAAGACCAGUGGCGAAGGCGGGUCUCUGGACAGUUCCUGACACUGAGACACGAAGGCCAGGGGAGCAAACGGG